rnacentral:rRNA from 1 species
AUUGAACGCUGGCGGCAGGCCUAACACAUGCAAGUCGAGCGAGCGGCGGAAGGGUGAGUAAUGUAGGUGGACUGCCCGCUAGAGGGAGAUAACUACAGGAAACGGUAGCUAAUACCGCAUACUAUAGGAUUACCCAUAUUGGAUUAGCUAGUAGGUGAGGUAAUGACUCACCUAGGCGCCGAUCCCUAGCUGGUCUGUGAGGAUGAUCAGCCACACUGGGACUGAUACACGGCCCAGACUCCUACGGACGCAGCAGUGGGGAAUAUUGCACAAUGGGCGAAAGCCUGAUGCAGCCAUGCCGCGUGUAUGAAGAAGGCCCUAGGGUUGUAAAGUACUUUCAGUCGGGAGGCGUUACCGACAGAAGAAGCACCGGCUAACUCCGUGCCAGCAGCCGCGGUAAUUC